rnacentral:tRNA from 1 species
UAAAGGUUAGUUUAUAUUAGAAUUCUAAGUUGUCAACUUAGGGAAGCGAAGAUUUUUCGUGCCUUUAG